UCUAAAAGAAUCUUUAAAAUAAAAAACAUCCAGUAAAACUCUUUGGCCAUCUGAGCAGAGUCACUAUAAAACUAAAAUUGCCCUUUUCCAAAAGCCAUACAAGUUAAAGCUGGAGAACUUGAGAUAAACCAGAGAGAAAUCACCACAGUCGCUCACAUAUGGACACUCUUCUUGCCUGCUGCUAUGUGGCUGCUCAGAGUUCACCAGAGCCCUUCAAAGUGCAAAUCAGGCAUGUCUGUCAGACUGCGUGUGCCUGCCCUUAGUCCAUGAAACACCUCUAAUUAAAUUACCUGAUUGUUCACAUCAUAUGGAGCUCACUUGCAACACCACCUCGCAAAAUAAAACCUCAUAUUCAUCC